CAAGGGCAAUUUCAAUAAAUUUCAUGUACAUGUGAGACGAUCUUUUUUCAGUUUAACAACAAUCCAGCGAAUUAUUCGAGUCAACAUCUGCUUACAAUGCGUAUGAAGCUCUGUCGUUUUGGAUGUGGUAUACCCGUGCCCAGGAGCUGUUGUAGACCAUGUGGGAUUUUAUCACCUGGCUGUGCGAAAUGCUGUUUUACUUACUUUGGGUUCUGCCCCGACAAUUGUUGCGGUCCGUGUUUUGAGUCAUGCUUUGAUCCGGCUUGGUUCACCUGGUUGGCGCCAAGAUAGUGUCGCCUCUCGCAUUGUCGCUAUGAAUAAUUCUGGUGGGUUAUUGCAAGAAUUGGCCAACAAUUUUCACUUAGUUGUAUUUGAACUAUUUGAUUUUAAGUAAUAAAGCCAAGGAGAAACCGA
rnacentral:sRNA from 1 species